rnacentral:rRNA from 1 species
GUCUAUGGCCAUACCACCCUGAACGUGCCCAAUCUUGUCUGAUCUUGGAAGCUAAGCAGGAUCAGGCCUGGUUAGUACUUGGAUGGCAGAAAAUGUUGUGUAUGUACCAUGGAGU